rnacentral:lncRNA from 1 species
CCCCACAGCCGUUCGGGCACAGUGUUGGAGGUUACAUUUCGUGGCUUGGCAAAUCCGGAUGAGCGCAUCGGUACGAUUGCACAAGAGGGGAAUUGGCUGACUGAGGCCCCAGGGCGUCGUUCAGGUUUGAUAUCGUGCGGCACGGCGUGGCCCAGCUAUACAGCCAAGCGCAACGGCUGACCCGAAUCCCGUUGAUGCCUGAUGGUUGUAAGUCGGGCGAGCCACCCCCUUGAUUUACUACAGUCUUUGUCUCGGGAAAAUCAGAAAUCUAAGCCGAAACGGGUCCGGAGACCGCGAUAGCGAGGUGUGACCUGGCGAGCCGUGCGCUCACCAGCAGGUGCCGAACCACCUUUCCAUGUCUACUUGCGAGCGCUCCUGCAACCCGCUUGAAGAUACAGGUUUCGAACGAGCGUUCGGGGGCGACCGGGACCCACGUAAGGACUGGCAGAUCCCUUUUUAACCUUGACCACUGAAGCAAGAGGAUGGGAAUAAUUGGUGUGGCAUGGUUGAAGUGGCUGGGUAUCCUUCACCCAUGCCCUCUGGCCCUCGCUAAAAAAACAGCCCUCCCCUUUCCUCAGCGCCCGUGUGGCAUUAUACCUUCGCUUCAUGGAACGUUUCUUUAACUUGUUGGAUGCUGCGAAUAGUGCAUGCACAAAGCAUACGCGGUUCGGCAGAACGUAGGCGUAAUGGAAAGGCAAGCAUUGCAUUUGAGAAGAACGGUAAAUGGUUA